GGAGUGGGGGGGGGUUCUGGCGUUGCGGUCUGUAAGCUCGAGCGAACGGAUAAGGAGCUUGCUCCUUUGAAGUUAGCGGCGGAGGGAGAGUAACACGUGGGUAACCUACCUAUAAGACUGGAAUAACUUCGGGAAACCGGAGCUAAUGCCGGAUAACAUUUGGAACCGCAUGGUUCUAAAGUAAAAGAUGGUUUUGCUAUCACUUAUAGAUGGACCCGCGCCGUAUUAGCUAGUUGGUAAGGUAACGGCUUACCAAGGCAACGAUACGUAGCCGACCUGAGAGGGUGAUCGGCCACACUGGAACUGAGACACGGUCCAGACUCCUACGGGAGGCAGCAGUAGGGAAUCUUCCGCAAUGGACGAAAGUCUGACGGAGCAACGCCGCGUGAGUGAUGAAGGUUUUCGGAUCGUAAAACUCUGUUAUUAGGGAAGAACAAAUGUGUAAGUAACUGUGCACAUCUUGACGGUACCUAAUCAGAAAGCCACGGCUAACUACGUGCCAGCAGCCGCGGUAAUACGUAGGUGGCAAGCGUUAUCCGGAAUUAUUGGGGCGUAAAGCGCGCGUAGGCGGUUUCUUAAGUCUGAUGUGAAAAGCCCACGGCUCAACCGUGGAGGGUCAUUGGGAAACUGGGGAAACUUGAGUACAGAAGAGGAAAGUGGAAUUCCAUGUGUAGCGGUGAAAUGCGCAGAGAUAUGGAGGGAACACCAGUGGCGAAGGCGACUUUCUGGUCUGUAACUGGACGCUGAUGUGCGAAAGCGGGGGGGAUCAAACAGAUUAGAUACCCUGGUUAGUCCACGCCAGUAACGAUGAGUGCUAAGUGUUAGGGGGGUUCCGGCCCCUUAGUGCUGCGGCUAACGCAUUAAGCAACUGCCGCCGGGGGGGAUGUACGACCGCAAGGUUUGAAACUCAAAGGAUUUGGACGGGCACCCCCGCACAGACGGUUGGGAGCUA
rnacentral:rRNA from 1 species